CUUAACAGCUUCCCUGCGGCACUAGAACGGCACGUGGCCGUCCAAACACCUAGYCUGCAUCGUUUACAGCUGGGACUACCCGGGUAUCUAAUCCGGUUCGCUCCCCCAGCUUUCAUCCCUCNCCGUCGGBCGCGUUCUAGCAGACAGCCUUCGCCACUGGUGGUCUUCCCGGGAUUAUAGGAUUUCACCCCUACCCCGGGAAUACCGUCUGCCUCUCYCGUCCCCUAGCCGAGCAGUWUCCCCCGCAAGCCAACGAUUAAAUCGGUGGGUUUAACAGGGGACUUGUUCAGCCAGCUACGGAUGCUUUAGGCCCAAUAAACGUCCACACCACUCGGAGAGCUGGUAUUACCGCGGCGGCUGACACCAGACUUGCCCUCUCCUUAUUCCCCCAGCUUUCUAGACUGGGUAAAAGCCAWCCUCAGCGGUCGGCACUCGGGAUGRCCCUGUCACACUUKCGUGUAUUGCAA
rnacentral:rRNA from 1 species